AGACGUCCUCUACCGUCUCACCACUGGGUGUUAGAUUAGAGGCAGGGGGCGGUGCUGACCUUGAGAGCGCGCGGGAAGGCGCAGGCGCAGCACAGCAGAGCAACUGGAGAACCUAAUUCUGACCAACAAGGAGGAAUUGCUUGGCUAAUUGGAAGUGACAGAAACCUUGGGAGAAAACAACUGCAUACAAAGGAUAAUUAUAAGAAGGUAAAAUGGGCCCUAAAGGAUAGCAUCAAGAAAUCUGAAGCCCCCAAAUGAGGUCAUUUCAGUUUGAUGUCAAGAAACACUUCCAAAUAGAAGUGUGGACAAGAGGUGAGUGAAUUCCCAGUCACUUGAAGGAUUCAAGCAUAAAUUGUCAUCUACUCCAUUAGAUAUUGUAGAAGAAGUCCAAGCAUCAGAAGUGUGGUUUUGGUGUGAUUCCAGCUGUGUGAGAAGUUAUUUUGCUUUUUUGGGAUUUAGUUCUCUGUAAAACAGGGAAGUUUGACUAAAUUGCUGCCCCAUUACUUUUGAGCUUUAAAUUGUUUUGGUUCUGUAGUAGUGUAAUUACAUUAUGCUGUCUUUUUUCAGAUUUACAUAAUAUUGUCCUUUUGUCAUUUGAAAUACAUUUCACUAUACUUGUGAGCACUACCUGAGAUAUUUUUUGAAAAGUAUUUGUAAAAAUGCAAAAUACUAUGUAACUGUAAGGCAUCAUUAUAGUUCAACAUCAUUGGCAAUUAGUAAAAUGCAAAUUACCACCGCAAUGAGAUACCACUAUACACCUAUUAGAAUGGCUAAAGUAAAAUAAAAUACUGAUGAUACCAAGUGCUGACCAGAUGCAGAAUAACUCUGUCUCUCAUACUUUGCUGAUGGGAAUAAAACUUGGUACAAACAUUCCAGCAAACACUUUGGCAGUUUUUUUUUUUUUAAAUAAACAUGCCCUUAACAUAAGACUCUGUAAUCCAACUAUUGCAUAUUUACUCUAGAGAAAUAAAAACAUAUGUUCAUAGAAAAAUCUCUACAUAAAUGAUCAUACCAACUUUAUUUGUGAUAAAUUUUAUGCACCCCAGAUAUCCUCCAGUCGGUGAGUGAAUGACCUGUGGUACAUCCAUAUCAGAGGAUACUUCUCAGCAAUAAAAUGGAACAAACUUGAUACACAGCAGCUUACAUGGAUCUCAAGACUAUUAUGCUGAUUGGAAAGCCAAUCUUAAAAGAUUAUAUAUAGUCUGAUUUCACAUAUAUAAUAUUAAAAUGGCAAAAUUAUAGUGACAUAGAACACAUCGGUGGUGCUAGGUGUUAGAGUUGGGGAGGGUGUGACUAUAAAGGGGUUACUCUGGUGUGAUAGAAUAAUUCUAUAUUCUAAUUGUGAUCACUACAUGAAUUUAUUACAUAUGAUAAAAUUGAAUAGACAAAUGCACCAAAAAAUUAUGUUUACCUUCAAGGUUCUGGAAAGUAGGGAAAUUUAUAUCUCUAUUCACUUUUUGUUUUUGUGUUUAGCUAUGAACUGUCUUAUAGUCAAUAAGAUGGAAUGUUUUUAUAUGAAACAUUUUCCUUCCUGAAGAAUACCAUAGAAAUAAUGGUGUGAGGUAUAAUUAUUUGAUCGUAAUUUACUUCUUUUCACCUUCUUUUCUGUAAAGGAGUAAAUGACUAAAUGUUAAAGUAAAUUCAGGUAAAGCUCACUUUAUUUAUAUUUUAUUCUUGGUUUUAAAUUUUACAAUCAUAUUUUCAAGGAAGCCUCUGGGAAAAUCAUUUUUACAUGAAUUUUCACAGCUCACUCAAAUGUGAUCUGUUCUUUACUAUUUAUAAAGAAACUCUCAGCCUUGCCAGGUUCUACUGUAGCUACUGCUUCUGUUUAUACUUAACUAAAUUUACUUCCAUUCAUGUUGUAGAAUAAACACAGGAGCUUGAAAUUAAUUCCUAUCAUAGGAUAAGAUCUAUUUUUUAAAGAUUUUUAAAAAUUUAUUUCCUAAGAGAGGA